rnacentral:sRNA from 1 species
UUCUAGCCCCGAUAGUAGUGGAAAUCCUUUUUCUGGCUUCUUUAGCCAGGAAAAGAUUGGAACGAAUAGCGGGAUUAGCU